rnacentral:ncRNA from 1 species
GGACGAAGGCAUAGAGCACUAACAGGAUUCGACACCCUAGUAGUCUUUGCAGACAAUGAUGAAUGCCAUGAACUAGAUUGCAAAUUUAGUUUUAUAAAUGAAAAUGCAAGCAUUUCACCUCAAGAGUAAUGUGGCAACGCAGGAACUGAAAUCACUAGACCGUUUCUGACACCAGUAGUGAAGUAUGUUAUUUAAUUCGAUGAUCCACGAAAAACCUUCCAUAACUUGAA